GCUUUUCCCCCUCACCCUUGCUAGCGUCGGCUACAGAGAAGCUUGCAGGCUCUGGGGGGGAAGAGC
rfam:Alligator mississippiensis ScZkoYb_1887, whole genome shotgun sequence.